UAAAUUUCCAGACUUAGCCAAAUUUCAGCCUUUUUCAUUUUCGCUCCGUUUUCGCUCGUUUUCGCUCGUUUGACCUCCGAUUCUUUUCAAAUCUAACCGAGACUCUCCAAACAUGUUUUCGAGCAUGUUCUCAUCAUCUUUUCAUCCGCGCUAAUGCCGGAUUUAGUUCACGGUCCAACAUAGCCUUUCGGGUCCCGUUUUCGCGCCUACGCGCUCCGAAAACGCCCGAAUGCUUCCGAACUUCACCGGAAUCAUUCUAAUGGCUUUCCAAACCAACAUACCCCGUAACUUCAUAAUUUUAGAAG
rnacentral:lncRNA from 1 species